rnacentral:rRNA from 1 species
UAGGGAAUCUUCCGCAACGGACGCAAGUCUGACGGAGCAACGCCGCGUGAGUGAAGAAGGAUUUCGGUUCGUAAAACUCUGUUGUUAGAGAAGAACAGCGCAUAGAGUAACUGUUAUGCGUGUGACGGUAUCUAACCAGAAAGCCACGGCUAACUACGUGCCAGCAGCCGCGGUAAUACGUAGGUGGCAAGCGUUGUCCGGAUUUAUUGGGCGUAAAGCGAGCGCAGGCGGUCAAUUAAGUCUGAUGUGAAAGCCCCCGGCUCAACCGGGGAGGGUCAUUGGAAACUGGUUGACUUGAGUGCAGAGGAGGGGAGUGGAAUUCCAUGUGUAGCGGUGAAAUGCGUAGAUAUAUGGAGGAACACCAGUGGCGAAGGCGACUCUCUGGUCUGUAGCUGACGCUGAGGCUCGAAAGCGUGGGUAGCAAACAGG